rnacentral:rRNA from 1 species
GCAUAACGCGAAGAACCUUACCGGGGCUUGACAUCUUUCUGACCGCCUGGGAAACCAGGUCUUCUUCCUUCGGGAAGACGGAAAGACAGGUGGUGCAUGGUUGUCGUCAGCUCGUGUCGUGAGAUGUUGGGUUAAGUCCCACAACGAGCGCAACCUUUGUCCUUAUUUGCCAGCCUGUUUACAGGCGUACUUUAAGGAGACUGCCGUAGAUAAUACGGAGGAAGGUGGGGAUGACGUCAAAUCCUCAUGCCCCUUACGUCCCGGGCUACACACGUGCUACAAUGGUCUGUACAGAGGGUAGCCAAGAAGCAAUUCGGAGCCAAUCCCAAAAAGCAGGCCCCAGUUCGGAUUGGAGGCUGCAACUCGCCUCCAUGAAGUCGGAAUCGCUAGUAAUCGCGGAUCAGCACGCCGCGGUGAAUCCGUUCCCGGGUCUUGUACACACCG